rnacentral:rRNA from 1 species
UUGCCAGCCGCCGCGGUAAUAACCGCGCCUCAAGUGGUAGUCACGUUUAUUGGGCCUAAAGCGUCCGUAGCCGGUUUGAUAAGUUUCUGGUGAAAUCCACUAGUAGACUAGUGGAACUGCUGGAAAUACUAUCAGGCUUGAGACCGGGAGAGGUUGGGAGUAUUCCACGGGUAAGAGUAAAAAUCCUUUAAUCCAUGAUGGACCACCUGUGGCGAA